AGCGUUUUAUUUUUAAUAACAAGUUUCUCCUUGGGCUUAUAUGUAUUUUAUUUAUAUACAAAUACGAAGUAAGUUCGGGAGUGAAAAUACGUGAAAUUCAGGCGCUAUUUUAUAUGAGAAAAAGCAAAAGACAAAUGGAAUUUAGCUAUCAAUGUUGUCUCUUGCCUUCUUUAAUAUCCUCACAUUGUUAUUUCGUGCUUUCUAAUGCUUUUUUAAAUAAUGCAAUGUUUUGUUUUAAUACAAGCUUCUCCUCUGUUCGCCAUGUAGUAUAAAUGUCUUUACGAAGUGAAUUCGGGAGUGAAAAUACUUGAAAUUUAGACGCUAUUUUAUAUUAG